rfam:Camelus ferus unplaced genomic scaffold scaffold848, whole genome shotgun sequence.
GGAGGGUACAGCUCAGUGGUAGAGCACAUGUCUAGCAUGCACGAGGUCCUAGGUUCAAUCCCCAGCACCUCCA